rnacentral:rRNA from 1 species
GAUGAACGCUGGCGGCGUGCCUAAUACAUGCAAGUCGAGCGAACGGACGAGAAGCUUGCUUCUCUGAUGUUAGCGGCGGACGGGUGAGUAACACGUGGAUAACCUACCUAUAAGACUGGGAUAACUUCGGGAAACCGGAGCUAAUACCGGAUAAUAUUUUGAACCGCAUGGUUCAAAAGUGAAAGACGGUCUUGCUGUCACUUAUAGAUGGAUCCGCGCUGCAUUAGCUAGUUGGUAAGGCAACGGCUUACCAAGGCAACGAUGCAUAGCCGACCUGAGAGGGUGAUCGGCCACACUGGAACUGAGACACGGUCCAGACUCCUACGGGAGGCAGCAGUAGGGAAUCUUCCGCAAUGGGCGAAAGCCUGACGGAGCAACGCCGCGUGAGUGAUGAAGGUCUUCGGAUCGUAAAACUCUGUUAUUAGGGAAGAACAUAUGUGUAAGUAACUGUGCACAUCUUGACGGUACCUAAUCAGAAAGCCACGGCUAACUACGUGCCAGCAGCCGCGGUAAUACGUAGGUGGCAAGCGUUAUCCGGAAUUAUUGGGCGUAAAGCGCGCGUAGGCGGUUUUUUAAGUCUGAUGUGAAAGCCCACGGCUCAACCGUGGAGGGUCAUUGGAAACUGGAAAACUUGAGUGCAGAAGAGGAAAGUGGAAUUCCAUGUGUAGCGGUGAAAUGCGCAGAGAUAUGGAGGAACACCAGUGGCGAAGGCGACUUUCUGGUCUGUAACUGACGCUGAUGUGCGAAAGCGUGGGGAUCAAACAGGAUUAGAUACCCUGGUAGUCCACGCCGUAAACGAUGAGUGCUAAGUGUUAGGGGGUUUCCGCCCCUUAGUGCUGCAGCUAACGCAUUAAGCACUCCGCCUGGGGAGUACGACCGCAAGGUUGAAACUCAAAGGAAUUGACGGGGACCCGCACAAGCGGUGGAGCAUGUGGUUUAAUUCGAAGCAACGCGAAGAACCUUACCAAAUCUUGACAUCCUUUGACAACUCUAGAGAUAGAGCUUUCCCCUUCGGGGGACAAAGUGACAGGUGGUGCAUGGUUGUCGUCAGCUCGUGUCGUGAGAUGUUGGGUUAAGUCCCGCAACGAGCGCAACCCUUAAGCUUAGUUGCCAUCAUUAAGUUGGGCACUCUAAGUUGACUGCCGGUGACAAACCGGAGGAAGGUGGGGAUGACGUCAAAUCAUCAUGCCCCUUAUGAUUUGGGCCACACACGUGCUACAAUGGACAAUACAAAGGGCAGCGAAACCGCGAGGUCAAGCAAAUCCCAUAAAGUUGUUCUCAGUUCGGAUUGUAGUCUGCAACUCGACUACAUGAAGCUGGAAUCGCUAGUAAUCGUAGAUCAGCAUGCUACGGUGAAUACGUUCCCGGGUCU